rnacentral:rRNA from 1 species
GGGCGAGAGCAGUAAUAAGAUGGAUGACCUCUUGGGAAGUCCUCGUGUUGCACCCCCUCCUUUU